UGCGUAGGUGGCCCGAUCAGUCAGAUGUGAAAGCCCCGGGCUUAACCUGGGAACUGCAUUUGAUACUGUCGGGCUAGAGUAUGGUAGAGGGAAGUGGAAUUCCGGGUGUAGCGGUGAAAUGCGUAGAUAUCCGGAGGAACACCAGUGGCGAAGGCGACUUCCUGGACCGAUACUGACACUGAGGCACGAAAGCGUGGGUAGCAAACA
rnacentral:rRNA from 1 species